rnacentral:rRNA from 1 species
UUGGAGGGCAAGUCUGGUGCCAGCAGCCGCGGUAAUUCCAGCUCCAAUAGCGUAUAUUAAAAUUGUUGCAGUUAAAAAGCUCGUAGUUGAAUUUCUGCUGCAUUGCUUUUGCUCCUUUACGAGUCUUUGCAUUGUGGCUUAUUUCGGACUUUGUUUUACAAUGUCCGGAUGUUUACUUUGAGAAAAUUAGAGUGCUCAAAGCAGGCUUUCGCCUUGAAUAGUUUAGCAUGGAAUAAUAAAGUAGGACUUUGGUUCUAUUUUGUUGGUUUUAGGUACCAAAGUAAUGGUUAAUAGGAACAGUUGGGGGCAUUCGUAUUUAACUGUCAGAGGUGAAAUUCUUAGAUUUGUUAAAGACGAACUACUGCGAAAGCAUUUGCCAAGGAUGUUUUCAUUAAUCAAGAACGAAAGUUAGGG